GGUGAGAUGGCCGAGCGGUCUAAGGCGCUACGUUCAGGUUUUCCCUGUGUCUCAAAUCGUAGUCAAGUAAUUGGCGUGGGUUCGAAUCCCACUCUCAUCA